GAUGAGUCUGCGUCUCAUUAGGUAGUUGGUGGGGUAAAGGCCUACCAAGCCGAUGAUGAGUAGCCGGCCUGAGAGGGUGAUCGGCCACACUGGGACUGACACACGGCCCAGACUCCUACGGGAGGCAGCAGUGGGGAAUAUUGCGCAAUGGACGAAAGUCUGACGCAGCGACGCCGCGUGAGGGACGAAGGUCUUCGGAUCGUAAACCUCUGUCAGAAGGGAAGAAGUGUAUGGGUAGUAACUGACCUGUACUUGACGGUACCUUCAGAGGAAGCACCGGCUAACUCCGUGCCAGCAGCCGCGGUAAUACGGAGGGUGCGAGCGUUAAUCGGAAUUACUGGGCGUAAAGCGCGCGUAGGCGGCUUUGUAAGUCAGGGGUGAAAUCCCACGGCUCAACCGUGGCAUUGCCUUUGAUACUGCAGAGCUUGAGUUCGGGAGAGGGUGGUGGAAUUCCAGGUGUAGGAGUGAAAUCCGUAGAGAUCUGGAGGAACAUCAGUGGCGAAGGCGACCACCUGGCCCGAUACUGACGCUGAGGUGCGAAAGCGUGGGUAGCAAACAGGAUUAGAUACCCUGGUAGUCCACGCUGUAAA
rnacentral:rRNA from 1 species